UACAGAGGGUGCAAACGUUGCUCGGAAUCAUUGGGCGUAAAGCGCGUGUAGGCGGCACGGUAAGUCAUCUGUGAAAGCCCUCGGCUCAACCGAGGAAGUGCAGCUGAAACUGCCGCGCUAGAGUGCUGAAGAGGGUGGCGGAAUGCGCAGUGUAGAGGUGAAAUUCGUAGAUAUUGCGUAGAACACCAGUGGCGAAGGCGGCCACCUGGGAAGCUACUGACGCUAAGACGCGAAAGCAUGGGGAGCAAACAGG
rnacentral:rRNA from 1 species